CUGGCACUGAAACACGGGCCAGACUCCUACGGGAGGCAGCAGUGGGGAAUCUUGCACAAUGGGGGCAACCCUGAUGCAGCGACGCCGCGUGAACGAUGAAGCCCUUCGGGGUGUAAAGUUCUUUCGGCAGGGAAGAAACAUGACGGUACCUGCAGAAGCAGCUGCGGCUAACUACGUGCCAGCAGCCGCGGUAAUACGUAGGCAGCGAGCGUUGUUCGGAGUUACUGGGCGUAAAGGGUGUGUAGGCGGUCCUCUAAGUUUGGUGUGAAAUCUCCCGGCUUAACCGGGAGGGUGCGCCGAAAACUGGGGGACUAGAGUGCGGGAGGGGAGAGUGGAAUUCCUGGUGUAGCGGUGAAAUGCGUAGAUAUCAGGAGGAACACCGGUGGUGUAGACGGCUCUCUGGACCGUAACUGACGCUGAGACACGAAAGCGUGGGUAGCAAACAGGAUUAGAUACCCUGGUAGUCCACGCCCUAAACGAUGCAUAUUUGGUGUAGGUCAUUCAGUUGAUCUGUGCCGGAGCUAACGCGUUAAAUAUGCCGCCUGGGGAGUACAGUCGCAAGGCUGAAACUCAAAGGAAUUGACGGGGGCCCGCACAAGCGGUGGAGCAUGUGGUUCAAUUCGACGCAACGCGAAGAACCUUACCUGGGCUCGAACGGCUUCUCAACGCCGGUGGAAACAUCGGUAUCCCGCAAGGGAGUGGAGUCGAGGUGCUGCAUGGCUGUCGUCAGCUCGUGUCGUGAGAUGUUGGGUUAAGUCCCGCAACGAGCGCAACCCUUGUCCUGUGUUGCCACCCCGUAAGGGAGCACUCGCAGGAGACCGCCAGCGAUAAGCUGGAGGAAGGUGGGGAUGACGUCAAGUCCUCAUGGCCUUUAUGUCCAGGGCUACACACGUGCUACAAUGGCCGGUACAAAGCGUUCCCAAGCCGCGAGGUGGAGGCAAUCGCAAAAAACCGGUCUCAGUUCGGAUUGCAGGCUGCAACUCGCCUGCAUGAAGCUGGAAUCGCUAGUAAUGGCAGAUCAGCACGCUGCCGUGAAUACGUUCCCGGGCCUUGUACACACCGCCCGUCACAUCACGAAAGUGGGUUGUACUAGAAGUCCUCAGGCUGACCCGCAAGGGGGGCAGAGGCCCAAGGUAUGACUCAUGAUUGGGGUGAAGUCGUAACAAAGUAGCCGUAGGAGAACCUGCGGCUG
rnacentral:rRNA from 1 species